rnacentral:rRNA from 1 species
AUUGAACGCUAGCGGGAUGCCUUACACAUGCAAGUCGAACGGAGUGGCGAACGGGUGAGUAAUGUAUCGGAACGUGCCCAGUAGCGGGGGCUAACUACGCGAAAGCGUAGCUAAUACCGCAUACUAUUUGAGCGGCCGAUAUCGGAUUGGCUAGUUGGGGGGGUAACGGGGCAACCAGGGGACGAUCAGUAGCUGGGUUGAGAGGACGACCAGCCACACUGGGACUGAGAAACGGCCCAGACGCCUACGGGAGGAAGCAGUGGGGAAUUUUGGACAAUGGGGGAAACCCUGAUCCAGCCAUCCAGCGUGUGCGAUGAAGGCCUUCGGGUUGUAAAGCACUUUUGGCAGGAAAGCGGUACCUGCAGAAUAAGCACCGGCUAACUACGUGCCAGCCGCCGCGGUAAUAC